UUGGGUAUUCAAGCAAUCGCUCCGCCUCUGGCGGAGAGGAAAGUCCGGACAGCAGGAAGCAGGGUGUCUAUCGAAAGAUAGAGGUCGCCGAUGAGGCGAUACAGUUAGAGCAACAGUGACGAACCGGGUCGCGCCGGGUGAAACGACCAAGCCAAAUCGGGUAAGUUUCGAAUCAAACCGCUUCGUGCGGGGUAGAAACUUGGCAAUCCUCCCCGCUGCAACUGACGAACUUCACCGCAAUGGACGCUUCCCCUUCCAUGGUGAUAAAGCUGCAGGCAUUAGAGAAAUGAUUGCAUAAACAGAAUCCGGCUUACGGAUACCCAAGCAA
rnacentral:RNase_P_RNA from 1 species